rnacentral:lncRNA from 1 species
AGGGAACUGAUUUGCUGUCUCUCAGCAAUAAAGGUUUACUGCAUGAAUAAGGAUGACAAAUGAGAAUUCUGGACUGUCCCCCCCGGCUCCUGAAUAAUCCCAGGCAUUCAAGAAUACUUCUCUUCUGCUAUUACAAUGAAUUACAUGUGGAGCUAUGAGGACUUCGGGCUUGAACAGUUGCCGUAGAGCUCUCCGUCUUGCUGGAAGGGCUUCUUCCAGGCCUUGGUCAGGAGGCUCCCUGGGUGCUACAUACAGGAUUUUUUUUGAGGAUAUGGAGAUGCGCAGGACACGAUCCCAGCAAUCCAGGUGCUUACAGGCUGAUUGUACAGCCAUGCACACAGAGUGCCACGAUGCAAAAUAGGAUGUGGUAAGGGUCAUGCAGUUCAGAGGAGAAAGCAAGUGUGGCUGAUGAACAUCACGGAGCAGUGACCUUCAUGGACAGACAGAAUUUGAGCUGGCCCUUUAACCAAUGAGGAGGAUUCAAACAGAGUUUGUAUUAUCCUGAAAAGAAAUUCCACUAAAGAUGAAUAGCAGAGAACUGUGUUCAGAAUACAAGUUCCACAAAGGUAGAGAUCUUGUCCCUCUGGCUACCUGUUGACUCUCCUGUGCCUAAUACAGUGCCUGAUUCAUACUACUCAAUAAAUACUUAUGGAAUGAAUGAAAAAAAAAAAAAAAAA